rnacentral:rRNA from 1 species
UACGUAGGGUGCAGGCGUUAAUCGGAAUUACUGGGCGUAAAGCGUGCGCAGGCGGUUUGCUAAGACAGGUGUGAAAUCCCCGGGCUUAACCUGGGAACUGCGCUUGUAACUGGCAAGCUAGAGUGUGGCAGAGGGGGGUGGAAUUCCACGUGUAGCAGUGAAGUGCGUAGAGAUGUGGAGGAACACCGAUGGCGAAGGCAGCCCCCUGGGCUAACACUGACGCUCAUGCACGAAAGCGUGGGGAGCAAACAGG